rnacentral:rRNA from 1 species
UACGAAGGGGGCUAGCGUUGCUCGGAAUCACUGGGCGUAAAGGGUGCGUAGCGGGGUCUUUUAAGUCAGGGGUGAAAUCCUGGAGCUCAACUCCAGAACUGCCUUUGAUACUGAAGAUCUUGAGUUCGGGAGAGGUGAGUGGAACUGCGAGUGUAGAGGUGAAAUUCGUAGAUAUUCGCAAGAACACCAGUGGCGAAGGCGGCUCACUGGCCCGAUACUGACGCUGAGGCACGAAAGCGUGGGGAGCAAACAGG